CAUGAUGAAUCCUGAGCUCUUUGCACACUGCAUAGAGCAGAUCCUGACUACAAGACGGAAAGAGCAGCUGAGGUCCAAAGCAAGUGAAAAGAUGUGGAUGAAGAUCGAGGCACUCGCUAAGUCCAAAACACAGCUACGGUGCAAAACCAAAGAACUCACAGCCACA